UACGUAGGGUGCAAGCGUUGUCCGGAAUUAUUGGGCGUAAGAGCUCGUAGGCGGUCUGUCGCGUCGGCUGUGAAAACCCGGAGCUCAACUCCGGGCCUGCAGUCGAUACGGGCAAACUGGAGUGUUGCAGGGGAGACUGGAAUUCCUGGUGUAGCGGUGAAAUGCGCAGAUAUCGGGAGGAACACCAGUGGCGAAGGCGGACUUCCUGGCCUGUUCUUGACACUGAGGCGCGAAAGCUAGGGGAGCAAACGGG
rnacentral:rRNA from 1 species